GACUGUCAGAUGGCAUUACAGAUGAAGAGUGAGAGCAGUGAUUACAUCAAUCUCAAUUUUGAUCCUAGAUGCUCCCUUAAAAAAGUGGGGAAGGCAAAUAAUAGCUGCAUGUAUUUAUAAAGGAAUUCUGAAGAAGGCUUGGCACAAUUCUUGUAAGGGUGAUGAAUAGGCACUGCUAUAAGAGAAUGGACGCUUAGCAGCAUGCGCUAUGGGGAUGCUACUGAAACAUCAGCAAGUGCUAAGUCGGGUGGCACCUCGUUGUGACUUACAGUGCUGAUUUACCUCCUGGUGGUAGAAUUAGAAAAUAGGGGGGGUUUCCAGUACAGGUGAUCUUUUUCAAUGCUAAUUUACCAUCUGCUAGGAACAGGUGGUGUUUCCCUUCGAGCAUAGUUCUAUUGUAAGGAAAUAAAAUGGUGAAUUUUCCAUUCCAGGACAUUUUUGUUCAAAGAAAAGUUGAGAAUCUGCAUAAUUUCCAAUGGGUAUAGAUACCUGCCAGAGAACUGUGAUGUAGUUUAAUCACGGACAUCUUUUAAUCCUGUCAACUUUACUGUCUCUGGGAUAGUUUGUGACAUUGAAGAAUGCUAUCAAUUUACAUACAACUUGAAUGCAAGAUUAGGAAGAAAUGGAGGAGGUUAAGACAAAGAAAAAUCUCUGCCACGGUCUUGAAGAAACAAAACUCCAAUGUACCAUGUUUCUCAGCAGAAUAUCUCAUCUCUGGCAGACCUAUGGUGGAAAUGGCAGAGUUGAUUUUUCAUAUAAUUUGGAAGAAACAUGACAUAGCAGAGCUCACCAGAGAACCAGAAAAUACAGAGAGAGACAGAGAGAGAGAAAGAAAUUCCUUGGUAUUAAUUUUGAGCAUCUGCACCACUCAUAUAUUUGUGCCCAGCUGGAACUCCUUGCUUUGGUAUCAUGGGACAGGUACUGGAUCUUUGUGAACCGUACUUUCAAAUGUUGAAACCUAAGUUGCUCCUUAGGUACUCUGAGACUUGAUAAUAUGGGUCUGGGGCUGCUGUCCACUGGUUGUCCAUAUCAGCUACUUGUUAAAUUUUGCAUUUAGAUAUGAAAUUGUUGUGGAAUUUGAGUUUUUAAAAAGUAUCAGAAGUACUACUAAACAUGUACAGAAGUUAUCCUUCUGUAAUUCCAUUUUACUUACAUUACUACACCUGUACAUUUUUAGGAAAAAGAUAAAAAAGACUUCAAGCUUAAGUGUUCUCAGAUGUGAAAAGACACUGAUUGUACUGAUAAUUUUAUGUAUUGCAUUCAUGCUGGAUGAACUACUUCAGGCACAGUGUCUUUAGAUGAAAUAAUUAUUUUUCUACCAAAACUAAGAUAAAAAGAGGAUGGAGAUAUUCUGGAGAGCCAAUGAGAUGUACCUGACCAACAUUAUGAGAAUCAGAACCUUGUCCAUGAGGUUACAAUUUAAAGCGAGUCAUGUUCCGAUGUUGCUUAUAUUCAGGACAGUUGUGUGCACCCCAGAUCUUAAUGAUACAUUUUAAAGAUAUCCAGACUCUAUACAAAGAAUAUUAGAGGU
rnacentral:lncRNA from 1 species